rnacentral:rRNA from 1 species
UACGGGGGGGGCAAGCGUUGUUCGGAAUUACUGGGCGUAAAGGGCUCGUAGGUGGCCAACUAAGUCAGACGUGAAAUCCCUCGGCUUAACCGGGGAACUGCGUCUGAUACUGGAUGGCUUGAGGUUGGGGAGAGGGAUGCGGAAUUCCAGGUGUAGCGGUGAAAUGCGUAGAUAUCUGGAGGAACACCGGUGGCGAAGGCGGCAUCCCUGGACCAAUUCUGACGCUGAGGAGCGAAAGCCAGGGGAGCAAACGGG